UUUCUAGGAUAAAGCCCUCCAAGGAUCACGACUGAAGAUGUGGAUGACUCCAAUUCUGUGUGUCAUGGACUCAAAUUUUUAUCUCCUCCAUAUGGUGUGCUGCUGAGUAUGCUGCUCACAGGAAUCAUAAAAAUUGUUUUCCAUGGGUCUUAGUACCAGGAACAUCUGUGCUUCUCCCGAAUAACUAAAACAUCAUGUGAAGACUGAGAUGCACAGAGAGAAUAUCAUGGGACAAUGGAGGCAGGGACUGGACUCAUGCAGCUGCAAGUCAAGGACUGCCAGAGACUGAUGGUGAUACUGUAACUAAGAGAAAGGUAUGAGAUAGAUUCACUCCUAGAAUCUUCGAGAGAAGACAUCUCUGCUUAUACCUUGAUUUCAAAUGUCCACCUUCCCAAACAGUGAGAAAAUAAUUUUCUAUUGGUAUAAGCCACACGGUUUGUGGCGAUUUGUUAUACAGUCCUGGAAAACUAAAAUAUGGUGGUUAUAAUUAUUAAAUUACCUAAUAACUAAGUAAUCAGAAUCUAGCACAUUUUAAGUAUUUAUGAGUUUGAGGAUUUAAUAUUACUGAAAAAUUCAUUCAGAUUAAAUAGAAUGUUCUCCUCUGGUCUCCAUUGCCUAUAUCCCAACUGUAUUAGUCUCCUAAGGCUACUAUGACAAAAUAUCAUAGACUGAUGGCUUAAACAAGAGAUAUUAUUUCUCACAGUUCCAGAGUCUAGGGAGUUCCAGAUCAAGAAGCCUCACAAUCUGGUUCCUGGUGAAAACAAAAAAGCAUAAAUAACUUGAAAUAUUCUAUCACUUCACUGGUUUAUAUUAAGAAACAUUAAUUUGAAAUAUUCUGUGAUAGAUGAUAAAUAUCACAUUUUUAAAGUUUAAUGCAAAAUUCUAAACUAAAAAUAAAGAUUACUUUUAGUUUGAAAAUGACAAUACAGAAGAUAGCUAAUUUUUUAGUUUAGAUCAUUC
rnacentral:lncRNA from 10 species